rnacentral:rRNA from 11 species
CUAAGGGCAUCUGGUGGAUGCCUUGGCGGUAAGAGGCGAUGAAGGACGUGGUACGCUGCGAUAAGCUACGGGAAGGCGCGAACAGCCGUUGAUCCGUAGAUUUCCGAAUGGGGAAACCCACCUUCGAUGACUGAAACUGCGAGCUCGGACCAGCUCUGAAUAAGGGAUGGUUCGGUUCGUAAUUUCAGUUAUCAGAUGAAGGUAUCUAGCCCUGAAUACAUAGGGGUUUAGAAGCAAACCCAGGGAACUGAAACAUCUAAGUACCUGGAGGAAAGGACAUCAACCGAGACUCCGCUAGUAGUGGCGAGCGAACGCGGACUAGGCCAGUGGUGCAAUUGUAAGAACUGGAACCGUCUGGAAAGUCGGGCCGUAGCGGGUGACAGCCCCGUACAGGUAGAAAGCAAUAGCAUCCUCGAGUAGGGCGGGACACGUGCAAUCCUGCCUGAACAUGGGGGGACCACCCUC